AAUCGCGUCCGGGUAACCGGGUCGCGAGUUGUAAUUUGAUGAGGUAAACUUGGUGGGCGCCUGGGUCUAAAUCCUUUGGAAAAGGGUAUCAUAGAGGGUGACAAUCCCGUCUGUGGCUCAGUCAGCGGUCUAUCGUGUAAGUUGCCUUCAAAGAGUCGGGUUGUUUGGGAAUGCAGCCCUAAGCUGGUGGUAAAUUCCAUCUAAAGCUAAAUAUUCGUGAGAGACCGAUAGCGAACAAGUACCGUGAGGGAAAGUUGAAAAGCACUCUGGAGAGAGAGUCAAACAGCACGUGAAAUUGUUAACAGGGAAACGUUGGGCCCCAGUACGCGCCUCGCGUAAAAUCAACCAUCUCUUCCCCGAGGGUAUCCGUGCCGGGUGGAUGAGUCCUUAAGAAGGGCCAUUGCCUGGUCGGUGCCCGAGGGGGGUGGUGCACUUUUGCGUGGGCGGGUCAACGUCAGUUAGAGCCACCGGAAAAUCCUGGGAGGAAUGUUGGCGAAGGCAACGGACCCACUUAUAGCCUCCCUUGAAAACGGUGACCCUGACUGAGGAGUCGCAGCCUCAUCAUAUGGCGCGCGCGUCUCCCUUCCCCCUGUGGGUAAGGCAGCUUGCUGACUUGCCUCGGUAAGGGAGGGGACUGCGCGUGUGCCUGGUGGGGCCACGGACGUUGGCGAAAUGGUUCUCAACGACCCGUCUUGAAACACGGACCAAGGAGUCUAACAUGUGUGCGAGUAUUUGGGUGCAAAACCCGAAUGCGCAAUGAAAGUGACCGCAGGGGAGAAGGGUGACCCUCUCGGGGGUCGCCCCGCAUCCUCGACCGAUCCGAUUGCCCUCCGUGGCGACGGGUUUGAGUUUGAGCAUAUCUGUUAGGACCCGAAAGAUGGUGAACUAUGCCUGAGUAGGAUGAAGCCAGAGGAAACUCUGGUGGAGGUCCGUAGCGAUUCUGACGUGCAAAUCGAUCGUCGAACUUGGGUAUAGGGGCGAAAGACUAAUCGAACCAUCUAGUAGCUGGUUCCCGCCGAAGUUUCCCUCAGGAUAGCAGAAACGCGUUAACAGUAUUAUGAGGUAAAGCGAAUGAUUAGAGGCCUUGGGGGCGGAAUGCCCUUAACCUAUUCUCAAACUUUAAAUAUGUAAGAAGUCCUUGCCACUUAAUUGGGCAUGGACGUUGUUGUAUGAGCGUUUCUAGUGGGCCAUUUUUGGUAAGCAGAACUGGCGAUGUGGGAUGAACCAGACGGGAGGUUAAGGUGCCGGAAUGUACGCUCAUGUAGACACCACAAAAGGUGUUGGUUCAUCUAGACAGCAGGACGGUGGCCAUGGAAGUCGGAAUCCGCUAAGGAGUGUGUAACAACUCACCUGCCGAAUGAACUAGCCCUGAAAAUGGAUGGCGCUCAAGCGUACUACCCAAACCUCCCCGCC
rnacentral:rRNA from 1 species